GAAGCCACCCUUUUUCACUCCACCACCUCCGGUCAGCCACUUCCGGCGGCAUUCUGGCGACUUUUCCGGCCAGUAAAGGUGCUCCAACCUUGAAACCAACAACCACACUUCAUUUGUUUAAGAAAAAGAAGGAUUAAGGUACAAGUGUGGUUCUUGAACCAAUUCAAGAGGAGGCUUGGAAUUCUUGAGUUGGUGGAACUAACAAGGUUUAAGGUGAGACAGGAUCUAGUGCACAGGCUGCGGAUCAGCA